GACGAACGCUGGCGGCGUGCCUAAUACAUGCAAGUCGAACGCACAGUUUAUACCGUAGCUUGCUACACCAUAGACUGUGAGUUGCGAACGGGUGAGUAACGCGUAGGUAACCUGCCUGGUAGCGGGGGAUAACUAUUGGAAACGAUAGCUAAUACCGCAUAAUAUUAAUUAUUGCAUGAUAAUUAAUUGAAAGGUGCAAUUGCACCACUACCUGAUGGACCUGCGUUGUAUUAGCUAGUAGGUGAGGUAACGGCUCACCUAGGCGACGAUACAUAGCCGACCUGGGAGGGUGAUCGGCCACACUGGGACUGAGACACGGCCCAGACUCCUACGGGAGGCAGCAGUAGGGAAUCGUCGGAAAUGGACGAAAGUCUGACCGAGCAACGCCGCGGGAGUGAAGAAGGGUGUCGGAUCGUAAAGCUCUGUUGUAAGAGAAGAACGGGUGUGAGAGUGGAAAGUGCACACUGUGACGGUAGCUGAACAGAAAGGGACGGCUAACUACGUG
rnacentral:rRNA from 1 species